rnacentral:misc_RNA from 1 species
GGAAGUAAAAUCGUAACAAGGUUUCCGUAGGUGAACCUGCGGAAGGAUCAUUACUGAGUGAGGGCCCCUCGGGGUCCAACCUCCCACCCGUGUUUAACGAACCUUGUUGCUUCGGCGGGCCCGCCUCACGGCCGCCGGGGGGCAUCUGCCCCCGGGCCCGCGCCCGCCGAAGCCACCUGUGAACGCUGUCUGAAGUAUGCAGUCUGAGACAAUUAUUAAAUUAAUUAAAACUUUCAACAACGGAUCUCUUGGUUCCG